rnacentral:rRNA from 1 species
GAAUUUGUCGGUUGGUCGGGCUUCACUGUCCGCACUGACCUGAUGGAUUCCUACCUUCUGAAUAACCAGCAUGCUAUUAAUUUAGUGCGUUGGGGAAGCAGAGCUAUUACCUUGAAAAAAUUAGAGUGCUUAAAGCAGGCUUGUGCUUGAAUAGAUUAGCAUGGAAUAAUAAAAUAGGACGGCAUGGUUCUAUUUUGUUGGUUUCUAGGAUCACCGUAAUGAUUAAUAGGGAUAGUUGGG